CUUCGUUGGCAGGUUUUCCUCCAAGCUGCCAUAGAAAGAAACUGUCUUUUCGAUAUUGCCCUGACAGUCCAAAUAUCGUAGAACAAUAUUUCGUCAGUGUAAUGGGUCAAGAUUUUAGACAUUUUGGGUAUGUAAAAGCUCACCAUUCUAUAUAGUAUCUUAAAUAAACCAUACAAAUGUAAUAUAGAAUGUCUAUGUGUUUCAAUGAUAGGAAGGUUUACCAGGAAUAUUGUGAAGCCAUGAACAAGCUUUCCAUGGAGGUUAUGGAGCUGCUGGGAUUAAGUCUGGUACUCGGCCGAGCUUACUUGAGAGAUUUCUUCCAAGGAAAUGACUCAAUCUUGAGACUGAAUCAUUAUCCGCC
rnacentral:lncRNA from 1 species